CACAUCCACACAAACUCUCUCUCUCCUCUGUGAGCUCAAACACUGUUUGCUUCUCUCUCUUCUUCCUCUUCAUCAUCUCUUCCUUCCCUCACAAUCUUCUCCCGGGGGGUUCCCGUUCCUCAGCCAGGCCUGCAUUGCCUCCCGCUUCCGGCACCGCCAGAUCGAGCCAAGGUUCGCCCUUCCUCUCCCCGGGAAUCCCACACUCUGCUGAUUUAGCUCAUUUCGAGCUUGAGCCCCAUCCCUCCUCUCGGCUGCUUCGAUCUUUCUCAUUUCCGGGUCCUCUCCCGAUUCUUGAGAGUUCGCCACUGUUUUGAGCUGCUCGAUGCUACGGUUCAGUGGUUAAGCUGCUGUUUGAGUGGCUGCUCCGGGGAGUGUGACGGCAGAUUUGUCGAUUGAGGCGCUCUCUGGGAAAUUUUUCUUUUUCUUGGCUCCGGGAUGGUAUAAUCUCAGACACAGCUAUAUGUUCAACACGGCCAUUUCACGAAGUGGUGCAUCAGAUGAUAUCUGAUAAAAUUAUUAUGCCCGACCAGUGCCAUGAUGGGCAUUUGUCAAGCAAGAUGUAAAGUAUUACGGGUUCUUUGCAUUUUACUUCUCUAUGGCUCAAUCAACAACAGCUUGGCUCUCAGCCCUGAUGGUGAGGCACUUUUGAGCUUCAGAUCAGCAAUUGUCACUUCAGAUGGUAGCAUUCUUCAAUGGAGGCCAGAGGAUCCCGAUCCAUGUAGGUGGAAAGGUGUGACUUGUGAUUCAGAAUCGAAAAGAGUGAUAUAUCUGAGCCUUGCUCAU